rnacentral:rRNA from 1 species
UUCCUACGGGAGGCAGCAGUGAGGAAUAUUGGACAAUGGGCGAGAGCCUGAUCCAGCCAUGCCGCGUGCAGGAAGACUGUCCUAUGGGUUGUAAACUGCUUUUAUACGGGAAGAAACACCCCCUCGUGAGGGGGCUUGACGGUACCGUAAGAAUAAGGAUCGGCUAACUCCGUGCCAGCAGCCGCGGUAAUACGGAGGAUCCAAGCGUUAUCCGGAAUCAUUGGGUUUAAAGGGUCCGUAGGUGGACGGUUAAGUCAGAGGUGAAAUCCUGCAGCUCAACUGUAGAAUUGCCUUUGAUACUGGUCGUCUUGAGUCAUUGUGAAGUGGUUGGAAUAUGUAGUGUAGCGGUGAAAUGCAUAGAUAUUACAUAGAACACCGAUUGCGAAGGCAGAUCACUAACAAUGUACUGACACUGAUGGACGAAAGCGUGGGGAGCGAACAGGAUUAGAUACCCUGGUAGUCCACGCCGUAAACGAUGGUCACUAGCUGUCCGGACUUCGGUCUGGGUGGCUAAGCGAAAGUGAUAAGUGACCCACCUGGGGAGUACGUUCGCAAGAAUGAAACUCAAAUGAAUUGACGGAA